rnacentral:rRNA from 1 species
CUAAGCUACUAAGGGUAUCUGGUGGAUGCCUUGGCUUGAGGAGGCGAAGAAGGACGUGGGGUAGCUGCGAAAAGCCCCGGGGAGCCGCUAACCAGGCUUUGAUCCGGGGAUAUCCGAAUGGGGCAACCCGUCGAGGGUCAUACCUCGUCACUCCCAUCUGAAUGCAUAGGGUGGGAGAGCAAACCCAGGGAACUGAAACAUCUCAGUACCUGGAGGAAAAGAAAGCAAAAGCGACUUCCGUAGUAGCGGCGAGCGAACCGGAAAGAGCCUAAACCUUCAGCACCUAACGGCCCUGCGGCUUAUGUGUUGGAGGAGUUGUGGGACGGACCUGGAGUGCGCAGGCAACUCGAGGGAGUGAGAAAACAGGCGUCUAGGCGAAGCGUCUGGAAAGUCGAGCCACAGAAGGUGACAGCCCUGUAGCCGAAAGACGACCUGUCUCCCGGACAUGUUCCCGAGUAGCGCCGGUCACGUGGAAUCCGGCGUGAAGCAGGGGGGACCACCCCCCAAGGCUAAGUACUACCUCAAGACCGAUAGCGUAAAAGUAGCGCGAGUGAAAGGUGAAAAGAACCCCUUUUAGGGGAGUGAAAUAGAAUCUGAAACCAGGUACCUACAAUCUGCGAGAGGGCGUCUAGUCAGUCCUACGGGGCUGGCCCGGCCUGAUCGCGUGCCUUUUGCAUAAUGAUCCGGCGAGUUACAGUCAUCAGCUUGGUUAAGCCUUUCUGGGGCGGAGCCUGAGCGAAAGCGAGUACGAAACGUGCGUAGCCUUCGGGCGGGUUGGUGGCUGUAGACGCGAAAACAGGUGAUCUAUCCAUGUCCAGGAUGAAACGGGGGUAACACCCCGUGGAGGUCCGAACGGGUCCGUGUUGAAAAAUGGUCCGAUGAGGUGUGGAUAGGAGUGAAAGUCUUUACAAACCCGUAGAUAUCUCGUUCUCCCCGAAAUAGCUUUAGGGCUAGCCUCGGAUGAAUUCUGCAAGCGGGGGUAGAGAGACUGAAUGGAUGUGGGGGGUCACCAGCCUACCCUGUCCAACCAAACUCCGAAUACCGCAUGCAGUUACCCCGGGAGUAAGUCUGGCGGGGAUAAGCUUGUCAGACAAGAGGGAAACAGCCCAGACCGUCGGCUAAGGUCCCGAAAUCUAUCUAAGUGCUGAAGGAAGUAGGAUUGCUGAGACAGCCAGGAUGUUGGCUUAGAAGCAGCCAUCAUUUAAAAAGUGCGUAAUAGCUUACUGGUCGAGCAGUUCUGCGCCGAAAAUGAACGGGACUCAAGAUAGAUACCGAAGCCACGGAAUGUAGAGCCAAGGGCGUUCUACAUUGGUAGGGGAGCGUAACACGAGGGUGGAAGCGGCACCGAGAGGAGCCGUGGACUUCGUGCUAGUGAUUAUGCCGGAACGAGUAGCGAGAAAGGGAGUGAGAAUCUCCCUCGCCGUAAACCUAAGGUUUCCUGGGGCAGGCCAUUCCGCCCAGGGUUAGUCGGACCCUAAGACGAGGCCGAAAGGCGUAGUCGAUGGAUGGCAGGUUAAUAUUCCUGCACCACUCUUGCUGAGCGAUGGGGUCACAGAACCGUGAAGGUCUACCGACGGAUGGAAAUGUCGGAUUAAGUCUGCGGGGUGGGUCGAGGUAAAACCCGGCCACCAACACCUCGGGGAUGAUGACGAGGCCGCUUUGAGCCGAAGUGACUGGAGCGACUCUCAAGAAAAGCCCCUAAGCGAUCACGGCAAGGGUGUCCGUACUAAAACUGACACAGGUAGGUGAGGAGAGUAUCCUAAGGCGCUCGAGAGAACCAUGGCUAAGGAACUCGGCAAAUUGACUCCGUAACUUCGGGAUAAGGAGUGCCUGGGUUGGUGUAGGGAUUUACUCCCGAAGCCUGUCCAGGUCGCAGUGAAUCGGCCCAUGGAACUGUUUAUCAAAAACACAGGUCUGUGCUAAGGCGUGAAGCCUACGUAUACAGACUGACGCUUGCCCGCUGUUGGAAGGUUAAGGGGACGGGUUAGAGCAGCAAUGCUCGAAGCUCAUAACCGAAGCCCCAAUGAAGGGCGGCCGUAACUAUGACGGUCCUAAGGUAGCGAAGUUCCUUGUCGGGUAAGUUCCGACCCGCAUGAAUAGCGUAAUCACAUGGGCUCUGUCUCAGCCAUGGACUCGGCGAAACUGAAGCCGAGGUGAAGAUACCUCGUCCCCGCGGGUAGGCGGAAAGACCCUAUGAACCUUUACUGCAGCUUAUUAUUGGGUUUAGCUAAUGUAUGUGUAGAAUAGGUGGGAGGCGUUGAAGAAGGGGCGCCAGCCCUUUCAGAGCCACAAUGUGAAAUACCACUCUUAUAUCGGUUGAACUCUAACCGGGUGCCGUGAAACCGGGCCUGGAACAGUGGUAAGUGGGCAGUUUGACUGGGGCGGUCUCCUCCCAAAAGGUAACGGAGGAGUGCAAAGGUACCCUCAGCACGGUUGGCAAUCGUGCGUAGAGCGCAAAGGUAGAAGGGUGCUUGACUGCGAGACCUACAAGUCGAGCAGAUGCGAAAGCAGGCCUUAGUGAUCCGGUGGUCGCGUGUGGAAGCGCCAUCGCUCAACGGAUAAAAGGUACUCUAGGGAUAACAGGCUUAUCUCCCCCAAGAGUCCACAUCGACGGGGAGGUUUGGCACCUCGAUGUCGGCCCAUCGCAUCCUGGGGCUGGAGAAGGUCCCAAGGGUUCGGCUGUUCGCCGAUUAAAGCGGUACGCGAGCUGGGUUCAGACCGGCGUGAGCCAGGUCGGUCCCUACCUUCCGUGGGCGUAGGAGAAUUGCGGAGUUCUUCCCCUAGUACGAGAGGAUUGGGGAGGACGGACCUCUGAUGUUCCUGUUGUCCCGCCCGGGGCAGCGCAGGGUAGUCACGUCCGGAAAGGAUAAGCGCUGAAGGCAUCUAAGCGCGAAGCCCCCUCCAAGACUAGUUCUCCCUGAAUUUCGAUUCCUGAAGGGUCCUCGUAGACUACGAGGUUGAUAGGCCGGAGGUGUAAGGGCAGCAAUGCUCUCAGCUGACCGGUACUAAUGGCCCGUGAGGCUUAGGCUA